GAUGAACGCUGGCGGCGUGCCUAAUACAUGCAAGUCGAGCGAACAGACGAGGAGCUUGCUCCUCUCUCGUUAGCGGCGGACGGGUGAGUAACACGUGGAUAACCUACCUAUAAGACUGGGAUAACUUCGGGAAACCGGAGCUAAUACCGUAUAACAUGUUGAUCCGCAUGGUUCAACGGUGAAAGACGGUCUUGCUGGCACUUAUAGAUGGAUCCGCGCCGCAUUAGAUAGUUGUUAAGGUAACGGCUUACCAAGGCAACGAUGCGUAGCCGACCUGAGAGGGUGAUCGGCCACCCGGGAACUGAGCCACGGUCCAGACUACUACGGGAGGCAGCAGUCGGGAAUGUUACGCAAUGGGCGAAAGCAUGACACAACAACGCCGAGUGAGUGAAGAAGGUCUUCGGAUCGUAAAACUCUGUUAUUAGGGAAGAACAAAUGUGUAAGUAAAUAUGCACGUCUUGACGGUACCUAAUCAGAAAGCCACGGCUAACUACGUG
rnacentral:rRNA from 1 species